rnacentral:misc_RNA from 1 species
GAUGAAGAACGUAGCGAAAUGCGAUAAGUAGUGUGAAUUGCAGAAUUCAGUGAAUCAUCGAAUCUUUGAACGCACAUUGCGCCCCAUGGUAUUCCGUGGGGCAUGCCUGUUCGAGCGUCAUUUACCCCCUCAAGCUCCGCUUGGUGUUGGGCGUCUGUCCCGCUUCGCGCGCGGACUCGCCCCACAGGUAUUGGCAGCGGUCGUGCCAGCUUCUCGCGCAGCACAUUGCGCUUCUCGAGGCACCGGUGGGCCCGCGUCCAUCAAGCUCACCCCCCCAGUUUGACCUCGGAUCAGGUAGGGAUACCCGCUGAACUUAAGCAUAUCAAUAAGCGGAGGA